rnacentral:miRNA from 1 species
UCCGAGCUCUGACUCCCUUCCCUGG